GAUGAACGCUGGCGGCGUGCCUAAUACAUGCAAGUCGAGCGAACAGACGAGGAGCUUGCUCCGCUGACGUUAGCGGCGGACGUGUGAGUAACACGUGGAUAACCUACCUAUAAGACUGGGAUAAGUUCGGGAAACCGGAGCUAAUACCGGAUAAUAUAUGGAACCGCAUGGGUCAAUAGUGAAAGACGGUUUUGCUGUCACUUAUAGAUGGAUCCGCGCCGCAUUAGCUAGUUGGUAAGGUAACGGCUUACCAAGGCGACGAUGCGUAGCCGACCUGAGAGGGUGAUCGGCCACACUGGAACUGAGACACGGUCCAGACUCCUACGGGAGGCAGCAGUAGGGAAUCUUCCGCAAUGGGCGAAAGCCUGACGCAGCAACGCCGCGUGAGUGAUGAAGGUCUUCGGAUCGUAAAACUCUGUUAUUAGGGAAGAAAAAAUGUGUAAGUAACUAUGCACGUCUUGACGGUACCUAAUCAGAAAGCCACGGCUAACUACGUG
rnacentral:rRNA from 1 species